GCCCUACGGGAGGCAGCAGUGAGGAAUAUUGGUCAAUGGGCGAGAGCCUGAACCAGCCAAGUCGCGUGAAGGAUGACGGCCCUACGGGUUGUAAACUUCUUUUGUCAGGGAGCAAUUGGAUCCACGUGUGGGCUUAGCGAGAGUACCUGAAGAAAAAGCAUCGGCUAACUCCGUGCCAGCAGCCGCGGUAAUACGGAGGAUGCGAGCGUUAUCCGGAUUUAUUGGGUUUAAAGGGUGCGUAGGCGGAAUGCCAAGUCAGCGGUAAAAUCGCGG
rnacentral:rRNA from 1 species